GGGAAUAUAACUCAGUGGCACAGCACUUGCCUGGCAAGCAGGAGGUCCUGAGUUCAAUUCCUGGUACACACA
rnacentral:tRNA from 1 species